rnacentral:lncRNA from 1 species
UCUGAAGUAAAAAUCAGGUCAAGCAGUAGGCUGCCUUGUACCCCUUCGACUUCUCAUAGUAAAGGAACAUUGUUCAUAUAGAGUGUUCCUACAAUAUUAAAGGAAAACAGCCCAGACGAUGCUAAAGGAGAUAUUUGGAAGUAAGAUGGUACAUCACAAAGGAAAGAGUUUUUCCUGAAGCCCUCCUAAAAGAUAAUGUUCUGAUUUUUAAAGGUUUUCUUAAUGGUUCUUCAAAUGGACUGUCUUUUAUAGAGCAAUUCAUGUUUAGAUACAUCUUUUUCUCCUGUUUAAUACUUAAACACUGCAUGACACUCAAAUGCUUGCAUAGACUUUUGCAAGAGCAGCGGCAAGGUUUAAAAUAGCUUCAGAGCUCCCUAGAUUCCAAUAAUGUCAUUACAUGCAAAUCUAGAGCUUUUGCAAGCAGAUAACCAGAUGAACAAUAAAAAGUAAGCAAAAAAAUCCAAUUAAGAAUUAAUUAACUGAUGUUCAAUUCUACUCUGCCAGAGAUACAAACAAAAUCAGCAUGCCUGCAAAUUCAGAAAGGAUUAAAGAACAGAUUAGGCAUCCAGAACACUACAGCACUUCCCUCAAAAUAGUAGUUUGUAACUGUUUUGUUUUUUAUAAAGUUUAAUGCAUAACACAUUCGAGCCUUAUUUUACGCUGUAUUUACUAAUCUAGUAAAUUAUCUAACAUCAAGCAUCUACAUUUUUAACCAAAAUUAAAAGGAAAUUUCUGCCUGGUUAAAUACCUGUUGUACUGGAAAAGGGGAAGUGCUUCGCUUGUAGGAUAUGCUGCAAACCACACCAGAAACUUUCUUUAAAAAUAAAACUAUACCAGAUGAACAACUCAAAAACAUACUGGAGAGGAUUUUCAGCUGUCUUCAAGACACUUUUUCAAUGUCUUAAAGUGAUAAACCUACAACAUUUGGUGUUGUUUUGGGUUUUUUUUAAUAUAGGUUUAUACAGGAAACGCCUUCCUAGAAUAUCUGAACAACAGUAACGCAUGACAUAAGAGAAACAAAAGGGGAGCUGGGAUGGGCAGGAUAUAUUUAUUUCUAAGUAAAUACUAUAAUAAACACUGAAAAGCUGUGAAUGAAAAAUAAAGAGACUUCC